rnacentral:rRNA from 1 species
GAUGAACGCUGGCGGCGUGCCUAAUACAUGCAAGUCGAGCGAACAGACGAGGAGCUUGCUCCUCUGACGUUAGCGGCGGACGGGUGAGUAACACGUGGAUAACCUACCUAUAAGACUGGGAUAACUUCGGGAAACCGGAGCUAAUACCGGAUAAUAUAUUGAACCGCAUGGUUCAAUAGUGAAAGACGGUUUUGCUGCCACUUAUAGAUGGAUCCGCGCCGCAUUAGCUAGUUGGUAAGGUAACGGCUUACCAAGGCAACGAUGCGUAGCCGACCUGAGAGGGUGAUCGGCCACACUGGAACUGAGACACGGUCCAGACUCCUACGGGAGGCAGCAGUAGGGAAUCUUCCGCAAUGGGCGAAAGCCUGACGGAGCAACGCCGCGUGAGCGAUGAAGGUCUUCGGAUCGUAAAACUCUGUUAUUAGGGAAGAACAAAUGUGUAAGUAACUAUGCACGUCUUGACGGUACCUAAUCAGAAAGCCACGGCUAACUACGUG